GAGUCCGUGUCGCAACGGUAGCGCGUCUGACUCCAGAUCAGAUGGUUGCGUGUUCAAAUCACGUCGGGGUCA
rnacentral:tRNA from 1 species